GACGAACCGUGCGAACGUUAUUCGGAAUCACUGGGCUUAAAGCGCGUGUAGGCGGGACGGCACGUCGGUCGCUGAAAGCCCCCGGCUCAACCGGGGAACGGGCGCCGAUACGACCGUCCUGGAGGGACGUAGGGGGACCUGGAACAUCCGGUGGAGCGGUAAAAUGCGUUGAGAUCGGAUGGAACGCCCGUGGCGAAAGCGAGGUCCUGGACGUUUUCUGACGCUGAGACGCGAAAGCCAGGGGAGCGAACGGG
rnacentral:rRNA from 1 species